UACGUAGGGUCCGAGCGUUGUCCGGAAUUAUUGGGCGUAAAGGGCUCGUAGGCGGUUCGUCACGUCGGGAGUGAAAACUCGGAGCUUAACUCCGAGCCUGCUUCCGAUACGGGCAGACUAGAGGUAGGCAGGGGAGAGCGGAACUCCUGGUGUAGCGGUGGAAUGCGCAGAUAUCAGGAAGAACACCGGUGGCGAAGGCGGCUCUCUGGGGCCUUACCUGACGCUGAGGAGCGAAAAGCGUGGGGUAGCGAACAGG
rnacentral:rRNA from 1 species